rnacentral:lncRNA from 1 species
AUGUGGACAGCAUGCAUGAACAGACAGGAAGUUCAGUAAAGACACAGAAACUAUUUUUAAAAGAGUCAAAUGGGAAUGCUUGAAAUAAAUAAACACACAUACACACAUAAUACCAACAGUGAAGACUUCACUAUAUGUGCUUAUCAGUAGGCUGAACACAGCUGAGAGAAGAAUUGGUGAAUUUGAAAAUAGAUCAGUACAAGGCAGAAAACUAACAAAGAUAUUCAGGGCCUGAACUCUACAUUUGACCUAAUGGGCCUAACAGACAUCUAUAGAACUCUCCAACUAAAAACAACAGAAUAUACAUUCUUCUCACCUGCACAUGGCACAUGCUAUAAAAUUGACCACAUAAUCGCCAUAAAACAACCCUCAGCAAACUAAAACAAAAAACCAAAAUCAUGCCAAACACACUCUUAGAACAUGGUACAAAAAAAAUAGGAAUUAAUUCUAAGAAAAUAACUCAAAACUGUACAAUUAUAUGGAAAUAACUGAUCUUCUACUGAAUGACUUUUGGGUAAACAAUGAAAUUAAGGCAGAAAUCAUUAAAUUCUUUGAAAGCAAUUAGAACAAAGAUACAACAUACCAGAAUCUCUGGGACACAGCUAAAACAGUAGUGUUAAGAGAGAAGUUAAUAGCACUAAACACCCACAUCAAAAAGUUAGGAAGACAUGAAAUUAACAACCUAACAUCAUACCUAGAGAAGCUAGAGAAACAUGAGCAAACCAACUCCAAAGCUAGCAGAAGGCAAGACGUAACCAAAAUGAGAGCUGAACUGAAGGAAAUUGAGAUGUGAAAAAUCAUACAAAAGAUCAAUGAAUCCAGGGGUUUCUUAUUUGAAAGGAUAAAUAAGAUUCACAGACCACUAGCUAGACUAAUAAAGAAAAAAGAGAUGAGAUCCAAAUAAACACAAUCAGAAAUGAAAAAGGGGACAUCACCACUGACCCCGCAGAAAUACAAAACAAAAGUUCAGAAACUACUAUGAACACC